AAGGUUUAGUGAGGCGGCACCGCGCGGCCCGAGGCGGGUCUUGAAGCACUCGUUUUCCCACUCGUUUUCCGGGGUUCCCCCGCGGUGGGACAGUGAGCAGUUCAGGGCGCCGCAGCCGAGGCCUUCCUCCAGAAAAAGUUUGCCAGUUCCUAAUCCAGGACACAUGUAUUUACAUGGUUGUUAAACUUUUCUGAACAGCCAGUGGGAUGUGGUAAAUAUUUAACAGCAGCUUCUCUGGAAGAGAAUGUAUUCGUUAGUAUGUAUUUAUGUGUGUGUAUAUAGUUUAUUGUAAAUUUUACUUAUUUUUCUAUCACUUUCUUAAGACCACAAGACAAUUAAUAAAACAAAUUGAACCCUGUUUUGUAGCGUCUGCUGAUUUUCUGGGUGUGAAUCCUUCAGCCAUGGCCUAUAUUGUUACUAAUGGGAUGUCACUAGCACCAGAGUUGGGAGGACAUGCGCAGUAGUAGCACACCAGAUUCUUUUUUUUUUUUUUUUUUUUCUUUUGAGGCAGAGUCUCGCUUUGUUGCCCAGGCUGGAGUGCAGUGGCGCGAUCUCAGCUCACUGCAACCUCUGCCUCCCGGGUUCAAGCGAUUCUCCUGCCUUAGCGUCCCCAGUAGCUGGGAUUACAGGCGCUCACCACCAUGCCUGGCUAAUCUUUGUAUUUUCAGUAGAGACUGGGUUUCACCAUGUUGGCCAGGCUGGUUUCGAACUCCUGACCUCAAGUGAUCCACCCACCUCGACCUCCCAAAGUGUUGGGAUUACAGGUGUGAGCCACUGUGCCCGGCCACACACCAGAUUUUUUUCAAGAACCUGACUUUCAGCCGGGCGCGGUGGCUCACGCCUGUAAUCCCAGCACUUUGUGAGGCUGAGGCAGGUGGAUCACGAGAUCAGGAGUUCAAAAUCAGCCUGGCCAGCACAGUGAAGCCCCGUCUCUACUAAAAAUACAAAAAAUUAGCCGGGUGUGGUGGCAGGCGCCUGCAAUCCAGCUACUCGGGAGGCUGAGGCAGGAGAAUCACUCGAACCCGAGAGGUGGAGGUUUCAGCGAGCUGAGAUCGCACCACUGCACUCCAGCCUGGGCAACAGAUGAGACUCUGUCUCAACAACAACAACAACAACAAAAACCUGCUACUUUCUCAGUGUGUCCCCACACCAGCAGCAUCAGCAUGACCUGGAAGCUUAUUAGAAAUACACAAUCUGGGCUGGGUGCGGUAGCUCACGCCUGUAAUCCCAGGACUUUGGGAGGCCAAGGCGGGUGAAUACUUGAGGUCAGGAGUUCAAGACCAGCCUGACCAACAUGGUGAAACCCCGUCUGUACUAAAAAAAUAAGAAAUUAGCCAGGUGUGGUGGUACACGUCUGUAAUCCCAGCUACUUGGGAGACUGAGGCAGGAGAAUUGCUUGAACCCAGGAGGCGGAGGUUGCAGUGAGCCAAGAUCACACCAUUGCACUCCAGCCUGGGCGACAGAGUGAGACUGUCUCAAAAAAAAAAAAAAAAAAAAUACACAAUAUGGCCAGGCGUGGUGGCUUACACCUGUAAUCCCAUCACUUUGGGAGGCUGAAGUGGGCAGAUUGCUUGAGCCCAGGAGUUCAAGACCAGUCUGGGCAACAUGGUGAGAUCCUGUCUCUGCAAAAAAUUAGCUAGUUGUGGUGGUGUUCACGUGUAGUCCCCAGCUACUCAGGAGGAUGAAGUGGGAGGAUGGCUUGAGCCCAGGCGUUGCAGGCUGCAGUGAGGUAGGAUGGCACGACUGCACUCCAGGCUGGGCUACGGAUUGUGACCUUGUCUCUAAAGAAAACGGUUAAUUUGAAACUUCACACCUGUAAUCCCAGCACUUCGGGAGGCUGAGGCAGGCAGAUCACAUGAGCCCAGGAGUUCAAGACCAGCCUGAGUGGGCAACAUGGCAAAACCCUGUCUCUGCCAAAAAUAGAAAAAAUUAGCCAGGCGUGGUGGCACACACCUGUAGUCCCAGCUACUCAGGAGGCUGAGGUGGGAGGAUUGCUUGAGUGCGGGAGACGGUGGCUGGAGUGAGCUGAGAUCACGCCGCUGCAUUCCAGCCUGGGCAACAGAGUGAGACUGCGUCUCGAAAAAAACCAAAGAAAGAAAUUCUCUAAGAGUAGCUCGAAUGUCAGUCCCCCUGGUCACCCACAGUGUGUAGAAUUCAGGUCAUCUGUCAUUCCUGGGGUGUUGGUUUCAUUAUUUUCAGGUUUCCCCAAACUUCUCUUGGGUAGGUCUUCUCAGCCUUUACCAUAUCUGCACGGUGUGACCUUUCAUGAACUUGAUACUUUUCUUUUUUU
rnacentral:lncRNA from 1 species